CCUGGUUGAUUCUGCCAGUAGUCAUAUGCUUGUCUCAAGGAUUAAGCCAUGCAUGUCUAAGUAUAAGCAAUUAUACAGCGAAACUGCGAAUGGCUCAUUAAAUCAGUUAUCGUUUAUUUGAUAGUACCUUACUACUUGGAUAACCGUGGUAAUUCUAGAGCUAAUACAUGCUGAAAACCCCGACUUCGGAAGGGAUGUAUUUAUUAGAUUAAAAACCAAUGCCCUUCGGGGCUCCCUGGUGAUUCAUAAUAACUUCUCGAAUCGCACGGCCUUGCGCCGGCGAUGGUUCAUUCAAAUUUCUGCCCUAUCAACUUUCGACGGCUGGGUCUUGGCCAGCCAUGGUGACAACGGGUAACGGAGGGUUAGGGCUCGACCCCGGAGAAGGAGCCUGAGAAACGGCUACUACAUCCAAGGAAGGCAGCAGGCGCGCAAAUUACCCAAUCCCGACACGGGGAGGUAGUGACAAUAAAUACUGAUACAGGGCUCUUUUGGGUCUUGUAAUUGGAAUGAGUACAAUUUAAUUCCCUUAACGAGGAACAAUUGGAGGGCAAGUCUGGUGCCAGCAGCCGCGGUAAUUCCAGCUCCAAUAGCGUAUAUUAAAGUUGUUGCAGUUAAAAAGCUCGUAGUUGAACCUUGGGCCUGGCUGGCCGGUCCGCCUCACCGCGUGCACUGGUCCGGCCGGGUCUUUCCCUCUGGGGAGCCGCAUGCCCUUCACUGGGUGUGUCGGGGAACCAGGACUUUUACUUUGAAAAAAUUAGAGUGUUCAAAGCAGGCUUAUGCUCGGAUACAUUAGCAUGGAAUAAUAGAAUAGGACGUGCGGUUCUAUUUUGUUGGUUUCUAGGACCGCCGUAAUGAUUAAUAGGGACAUCGGGGGCAUCAGUAUUCAAUUGUCAGAGGUGAAAUUCUUGGAUUUAUUGAAGACUAACUACUGCGAAAGCAUUUGCCAAGGAUGUUUUCAUUAAUCAGGAACGAAAGUUAGGGGAUCGAAGACGAUCAGAUACCGUCGUAGUCUUAACCAUAAACUAUGCCGACUAGGGAUCGGACGAUGUUAUUUUUUGACUCGUUCGGCACCUUACACGAAAGUACAAGUUUCUGGGUUCUGGGGGGAGUAUGGUCGCAAGGCUGAAACUUAAAGAAAUUGACGGAAGGGCACCACCAGGGGUGGAAUCUGCGGCUUAAUUUGACUCAACACGGGGAAACUCACCAGGUCCAGACACGAUGAGGAUUGACAGAUUGAGAGCUCUUUCUUGAUUUCGUGGGUGGUGGUGCAUGGCCGUUCUUAGUUGGUGGAGUGAUUUGUCUGCCUAAUCGCGAUAACGAACGAGACCUUAACCUGCUAAAU
rnacentral:rRNA from 1 species